CAGGAUUUCAGAGCCAUCACAUCAGACGUUCAGAGGGACAGCAGGGUCACGUCUCUCAGCACUCGAGCUGGAAUCAGGAACUCCCUCGUCACCAUCCUGGACCAGUUACAGCGCUGCCAGAAAUCCCUCAAUGAAUUCCUGGAGGAGAAGCGUACUGCGUUUCCUCGGUUUUACUUCACUGGAGA